GACGAACGCUGGCGGCGUGCUUAACACAUGCAAGUCGAACGGAAAGGCCCUGCUUUUGUGGGGUGCUCGAGCGGCGAACGGGUGAGUAACACGUGAGUAACCUGCCCUUGACUUUGAGAUAACUUCAGGAAACUGGGGCUAAUACCGGAUAGGAGCUCCUGCUGCAUGGUGGGGGUUGGAAAGUUUCGGCGGUUGGGGAUGGACUCGCGGCUUAUCAGCUUGUUGGUGGGGUAGUGGCUUACCAAGGCUUUGACGGGUAGCCGGCCUGAGAGGGUGACCGGCCACAUUGGGACUGAGAUACGGCCCAGACUCCUACGGGAGGCAGCAGUGGGGAAUAUUGCACAAUGGGCGGAAGCCUGAUGCAGCAACGCCGCGUGCGGGAUGACGGCCUUCGGGUUGUAAACCGCUUUCGCCUGUGACGAAGCGUGAGUGACGGUAAUGGGUAAAGAAGCACCGGCUAACUACGUG
rnacentral:rRNA from 1 species